UACAGAGGUGCCAAGCGUUGUUCGGAUUUACUGGGCGUAAAGGGUGCGUAGGCGGUCGCGCAAGUCGGACGUGAAAUCCCGGGGCUCAACCCCGGAACGGCGUUCGAAACUGCGCGGCUAGAGGUCUGGAGAGGUGACUGGAAUUCUCGGUGUAGCAGUGAAAUGCGUAGAUAUCGAGAGGAACGCCAGAGGCGAAAGCGGAUCACUGGACAGAACCUGACGCUGAGGCACGAAAGCCAGGGGAGCAAACGGG
rnacentral:rRNA from 1 species